rnacentral:tRNA from 1 species
CAUGCCGGUGGCGAGGCAGAUGGCGGUGCCCUUGGCGAGGGCGCGGAUGGCGUCGGCGGGCAGGAUCCUCUCCUGCCGCAUGG